GAUGAACGCUGGCGGCGUGCCUAAUACAUGCAAGUCGAGCGAACGGACGAGAAGCUUGCUUCUCUGAUGUUAGCGGCGGACGGGUGAGUAACACGUGGAUAACCUACCUAUAAGGCUGGGAUACUUCGGGAAACCGGAGCUAAUACCGGAUGAUAUUUUGAACCGCAUGGUUCAAAGGUGAAAGACGGUCUUGCUGUCACUUAUAGAUGGAUCCGCGCUGCAUUAGCUAGUUGGUAAGGUAACGGCUUACCAAGGCAACGAUGCAUAGCCGACCUGAGAGGGUGAUCGGCCACACUGGAACUGAGACACGGUCCAGACUCCUACGGGAGGCAGCAGUAGGGAAUCUUCCGCAAUGGGCGAAAGCCUGACGGAGCAACGCCGCGUGAGUGAUGAAGGUCUUCGGAUCGUAAAACUCUGUUAUUAGGGAAGAACAUAUGUGUAAGUAACUGUGCACAUCUUGACGGUACCUAAUCAGAAAGCCACGGCUAACUACGUG
rnacentral:rRNA from 1 species